UCUUCCUCAUCCUUUGUUUCCCCAGCCUUCUUUCAUCUCUGAAAUGCAUAUGUUUUAGCACCAUUUGUAUUUCAGAGAUGGAGGGCCGAAGAAACGCAUACGCUUGAUAUUGAAU
rnacentral:precursor_RNA from 11 species